CCAGACUCCUACGGGAGGCAGCAGUGGGGAAUAUUGCACAAUGGGGGGAACCCUGAUGCAGCGACGCCGCGUGAGUGAAGAAGUAUUUCGGUAUGUAAAGCUCUGUCAGCAGGGAAGAAGAAAGACGGUACCUGACCAAGAAGCCACGGCUAACUACGUGCCAGCAGCCGCGGUAAUACGUAGGUGGCAAGCGUUGUCCGGAUUUACUGGGUGUAAAGGGCGUGCAGCCGGAGAGACAAGUCAGAUGUGAAAUCCACGGGCUCAACCCGUGAACUGCAUUUGAAACUGUUUCCCUUGAGUGUCGGAGAGGUAAUCGGAAUUCCUAGUGUAGCGGUGAAAUGCGUAGAUAUUAGGAGGAACACCAGUGGCGAAGGCGGCCUGCUGGACGACAACUGACAGUGAGGCGCGAAAGCGUGGGGAGCAAACAGGAUUAGAUACCCGAGUAA
rnacentral:rRNA from 1 species